rnacentral:rRNA from 1 species
GACGAACCGUGCGAACGUUAUUCGGAUUCACUGGGCUUAAAGGGCGCGUAGGCGGGCUCGCCAGUCCGGGGUGAAAUCUUUCGGCUUAACCGGAAAAGUGCCUCGGAUACUGCGGGCCUUGAGGGAGGUAGGGGCAUGUGGAACUUCCGGUGGAGCGGUGAAAUGCGUUGAUAUCGGAAGGAACGCCGGUGGCGAAAGCGACGUGCUGGACCUCAACUGACGCUGAGGCGCGAAAGCCAGGGGAGCGAACGGG